UACGUAGGGGGCAAGCGUUAUCCGGAAUUACUGGGUGUAAAGGGAGCGUAGACGGUAAUGUAAGUCUGGAGUGAAGGGCGGGGGCCCAACCCCCGGACUGCUCUGGAAACUAUGUUACUAGAGUGCAGGAGAGGUAAGCGGAAUUCCUAGUGUAGCGGUGAAAUGCGUAGAUAUUAGGAGGAACACCAGUGGCGAAGGCGGCUUACUGGACUGUAACUGACGUUGAGGCUCGAAAGCGUGGGGAGCAAACAGG
rnacentral:rRNA from 1 species